CCCUUUUCCUUUUUUUUGAUCUACCGAGUUCUGCGUCUUUGUUUUCCUUCUACUGCUUCCUCUUCGAUUCAAUCUCCAUGUCUUUAGAUUACAAAUACAAACAUAGAUGAGGAUUAUAUGUUUCAUGUUUAUGUAUUUUUCUGCAACUGAGCUUGAGAGGAGCCUAUCAAGCCUAGAAGACCAACUAUAGUGGCCAACACAAAAGAAAAUCCUCCAGAUCAGCAAGAUUUUGUUGGUAUGAUGAGAUUUAGUUGCGCAAUUAUUUUAGUUUAGUUGCAUGAUUAUUUUAGUUUUUUUCUUUUCUUUUUGCUGGAUGUAUCUAUAUAACCCUCCAAAGUAGACAACCAACUCUCUAGAUCUUCAGACUUUAGAGUUUUAUGUAUAUAUUGGUCAAUAACGUGUUGAUAGGUUAGUUAAACAAUUUGUCACUUUCUUUGUUAUGAAUUAGUUAAUUUUGGUGUUUGUUUAAAGUUGAGUUGUAUAUAUAAUAGUAAUUAAGAAUUUAUUUUGUGCAUGUACCGAUAAAAGAAAAAUAUUAUUGAUUUGCACAUUCUUAAGGAAAAAAGAGUAUAUAUGUAUCUUUUUUUUUUUUAAUAACAAAACCAUGAUAGACAUUUAGUUACAGACAGUUAUCGAUAAAAAGUAAGUGAAAACCGACAUUAAAGAUAAUGUUCAAUGUCGGUUGAAAACCGACAUUGAAGAUAGUAUUCAAUGUCGGUUGAAAACUGAUAAUAAAGAUAAUUGGCAUUGAAAUCUUGGUUAUCAACCGAUAUUAAAGACCUUUUAUAAUACGAUCUUCGGUGUCGAUUUUCAACCAACAUUGUACCCUUAUGAUGUCAGUUUUAAACAAACAUUAAAGCCCAGUUUUGUAGUAGUGCUUAUACAAUUGAUAAGUUUGAGUUUUAUAUGAAACGGAUGGAAUCGACAUAUCCUACUAUUCGGGAAUAUCUCAGUAAAGUUGGUUUUGAGAAUUUGGCAUAUGCAUAUUCUAGGAGAAGAAGGUAUAAUAUCAUGACCACAAAUAUUUCGGAGUUCUUGAAUAAUAUUUCGCAUAGAGAGUUCUUUGUUGCAUCGCUACUUGAUUCCAUUCGAGAAAUACUUCAAAAUUGAUUUUAAGAAAAAAGGUCAAUCUGCAUUAUCAAUGAAGAUCGUUUUGACUAAUUAGAUAGAUUCUUAGUUACGAGGGCAACACAGUCAAUUAAGAAGUUUCAAGGUACAAAAUUAACAAUUAAUGUAGAAGAAAUCACUAAUUUCAAUUUAUCAGUGAUAGCUUUGUGAUUGAUAACAUGUUAUCAGUGAUAGAAACAAUCACUGAUAGCUUGAAAUCACAAAUAUUUUUUUUAUAAACAUUUCAUCAGGUAGUGAUGAUAUCACUUACAUUUUUAUUUAUAUUUUAGUAUUUGAUGACAUGCCAUUAAUUCACCAAGUUGAUUACAUUUUCUCGAU